UGGCGAACGGGUGAGUAACACGUGGGUGAUCUGCCCUGCACUUCGGGAUAAGCUUGGGAAACUGGGUCUAAUACCGGAUAGGACCAUCGUUUAGUGUCGGUGGUGGAAAGUUUUUUCGGUGUGGGAUGAGCUCGCGGCCUAUCAGCUUGUUGGUGGGGUAAUGGCCUACCAAGGCGUCGACGGGUAGCUGGCCUGAGAGGGUGUACGGCCACAUUGGGACUGAGAUACGGCCCAG
rnacentral:rRNA from 1 species